UAAAGUCCUGUCCCCUUCCUGCCUUCAAGGGCACCCCUGAAGGACCAUAUCCACUGUGGACCCCCUUGGGAUCAGCCGAGUGACUCGAAGGAAUUGGGUCUUGAGACACAGCCGAGCCUGUGAGCGCUGACCUGUGUAAAGAAGACACCAGAAUGAGAUGUCUCCACACACAGAGAGCUGCAGCCGAUGCCGGCCGGUGACUUGGGACUUGGAUGCUUAACAGGAGGCUCCCCCUCUCUUGGGAGGUAGAGAGCAGUGAGGAAGGGGACUCAGCCUCCAUGCCUCCCGCCAGCCCAGCUGCGCCCGAAUCACCUCCCUCCUGAAAGGAUGUCAGCCUCUGCUUGGACACCGUGGAGACAGGGCCCUCCUUGUGCUUCAGAAGCAUCAACGUGUCAGAAAAUCAUCUUCACGCCAAGUCUGGAAAAAAUGGCUUUGAGGUUGUGCACACAAAGGAAGGAGGGAGAGCCCCAGGUGUCGCGGAGGACCAUGCGGCUGACAGAGCCAGCAGGGCGGUGGCGUGUGAGCCGUGCUCUGGAUAUAUAAGGAUCUGACGCUGCUGGCAAUGUCUGAGCUCUAUGCUCGCCCAUCUGUCGGCUGCUAUCAUCACCGGGUGGGAUUAGCGGAGAUCCACUCUUUCAUAUUUAAAUCUUCACAAGAGAAUGAAUCACUUUUAUAAUAAAAGAAAAAGACCGUCCAUGUUGUUAAUGUGCACACAGCAAGUUGGAAGGCCGGGGAGGGCAGCGGGUGGGGACGCUGACCCAGGCGCCCCCCUGCUGCCUGGAACAGCCCCAGGCCUGCUCCACUGUCCCCUCGGGGUUCCCUGUCGAAGAGGCCAAAGAGUGGAGGGGCUGGUGCCUAGAGGGUGUGGAGCUGCAGGUGCACAGUACAGCUGGCACCUGGCAGAGGUGGU
rnacentral:lncRNA from 1 species